rnacentral:rRNA from 1 species
GUUGUAUAGUUAAGUGACUAAGCGUGCACGGUGGAUGCCUAGGCGGUAGAAGGCGAUGAAGGACGUGAUAGCCUGCGAUAAGCUUCGGUGAGGUGGCAAAUAACCUUUGACCCGAAGAUUUCCGAAUGGGAAAACCCACUCAGCUUGCUGAGUAUCCUGCUUGCAGGAGGCGAACCCGGAGAACUGAAACAUCUAAGUACCCGGAGGAAAAGAAAUCAACCGAGAUUCCCCAAGUAGCGGCGAGCGAACGGGGAUUAGCCCUUAAGCAUAGAUAAGGUUAGCAGAAGGCUCUGGAAAGUGCCACGGUACAGGGUGAUAGUCCCGUAUGCGAAAAUCUUUUUUAUGUGAAAACGAGUAGGACGGAACACGUGAAACUCUGUCUGAACAUGGGGGGACCACCCUCCAAGGCUAAAUACUCUCUACCGACCGAUAGUGAACCAGUACCGUGAGGGAAAGGCGAAAAGAACCCCUGAAGGGGAGUGAAAUAGAACCUGAAACCGUGUACGUACAAGCAGUGGGAGCUCUUUAUGAGUGACCGCGUACCUUUUGUAUAAUGGGUCAGCGACUUACGUUGUGUAGCAAGGUUAACUGAAUAAGGGAGCCGAAGGGAAACCGAGUCUUAAAUGGGCGGUUAGUUGCACGGCGUAGACCCGAAACCGGGCGAUCUAUCCAUGGCCAGGUUGAAGGUGCCGUAACAGGUACUGGAGGACCGAACCCACGUAUGUUGAAAAAUGCGGGGAUGAGUUGUGGAUCGGAGUGAAAGGCUAAUCAAGCCCGGAGAUAGCUGGUUCUCCUCGAAAUCUAUUUAGGUAGAGCCUCAUGUCUCACUGCCGGGGGUAGAGCACUGUUAUGGUCUAGCGGGCCGUCAAGGCUUAGCAGCCCAUUGCAAACUCCGAAUACCGGCAAGUGCAAUCAUGGGAGACAGACACCGGGUGCUAACGUCCGAUGUCAAGAGGGAAACAACCCAGACCACCAGCUAAGGUCCCUAAACACUGCUCAGUGGGAAAGGAUGUGGGAAGGCUUAGACAGUCAGGAGGUUGGCUUAGAAGCAGCCAUCCUUUAAAGAAAGCGUAAUAGCUCACUGAUCGAGUCGGCCUGCGCCGAAGAUUUAACGGGGCUAAGCAGUGUACCGAAGCUGUGGACUCUUUUAGAGUGGUAGAGGAGCGUCGUGUAAGCCUGCGAAGGGAAAUUGAGAAGUUUUCUGGAGGUAUCACGAGUGCGAAUGCUGACAUGAGUAGCGAUAAAGGGAGUGAAAAGCUCCCUCGCCGAAAGACCAAGGGUUCCUACGCAACGCUAAUCGACGUAGGGUUAGUCGACCCCUAAGACGAGGCCGAACGGCGUAGUCGAUGGGAAACAGGUUAAUAUUCCUGUACUUUUUGUGACUGCGAUGGAGAGACGGAGAAGGCUAGGCCAGCUUACAGAUGGUGUAAGUUUAAGAUGGUAGGCAGGACGCUUAGGCAAAUCCGGGCGUUCAAUGUCGAGAAUCGAUGACGAGCUCAUUGCGAGCGAAGUGGUUGAUGCCAGGCUUCCAGGAAAAUCUUCUAAGCUUCAGGUCACAGAGAAUCGUACCCCAAACCGACACAGGUGGUCAGGAUGAGAAUUCCAAGGCGCUUGAGAGAACUCGGGUGAAGGAACUAGGCAAAAUGACACCGUAACUUCGGGAGAAGGUGUGCCUCUUAUGGUGAAGGACUUGCUCUGUAAGCUAUGAGAGGUUGCAGAGACCAGGUGGCUGCAACUGUUUACUAAAAACACAGCACUCUGCUAAAUCGUAAGAUGACGUAUAGGGUGUGACGCCUGCCCGGUGCCGGAAGGUUAAUUGAUGGGGUUAGCUUUUAGCGAAGCCCUUGAUCGAAGCCCCGGUAAACGGCGGCCGUAACUAUAACGGUCCUAAGGUAGCGAAAUUCCUUGUCGGGUAAGUUCCGACCUGCACGAAUGGCGUAAUGAUGGCCACACUGUCUCCACCCGAGACUCAGCGAAAUUGAAAUCGCAGUUAAGAUGCUGCGUACCCGCGGCUAGACGGAAAGACCCCGUGAACCUUUACUACAGCUUUACACUGGACUUUGACCCUACUUGUGCAGGAUAGGUGGGAGGCUUUGAAACUGUGACGCCAGUUGCAGUGGAGCCACCCUUGAAAUACCACCCUGGUAGUGUUGAGGUUCUAACCUCGGUCAGUGAAUCCUGACCAGGGACAGUGUAUGGUGGGUAGUUUGACUGGGGCGGUCUCCUCCCAAAGCGUAACGGAGGAGCGCGAAGGUACCCUCAGCACGGUCGGACAUCGUGCAUUGAGCGCAAGAGUAAAAGGGUGCUUGACUGCGAGACAGACACGUCGAGCAGGUGCGAAAGCAGGUUCUAGUGAUCCGGUGGUUCUGAGUGGAAGGGCCAUCGCUCAACGGAUAAAAGGUACUCCGGGGAUAACAGGCUGAUACCGCCCAAGAGUUCAUAUCGACGGCGGUGUUUGGCACCUCGAUGUCGGCUCAUCACAUCCUGGGGCUGAAGUCGGUCCCAAGGGUAUGGCUGUUCGCCAUUUAAAGUGGUACGCGAGCUGGGUUUAGAACGUCGUGAGACAGUUCGGUCCCUAUCUGCCGUGGGCGUUGGAGAAUUGAGAGGGGCUGCUCCUAGUACGAGAGGACCGGAGUGGACGAACCUCUGGUGUUCGGGUUGUCACGCCAGUGGCACUGCCCGGUAGCUAUGUUCGGGAAGGAUAACCGCUGAAAGCAUCUAAGCGGGAAACCUGCCUCGAGAUAAGUUCUCCCUUGACUUUAAGUCAUCUGAAGGGCCGUUGAAGACGACAACGUUGAUAGGCUGGGUGUGGAAGUUCAGUAAUGGAUGAAGCUAACCAGUACUAAUUACCCGUGCGGCUUAACUAUACAACUCA